GCGAUGGUGGUUCAGUGUUAGAAUUCUCGCCUUCCGUGAGGGAGACCCGGGUUCAAUUCCCAGCCAAUGCA
rnacentral:tRNA from 1 species